rnacentral:rRNA from 1 species
GACGAACGCUGGCGGCGUGCUUAACACAUGCAAGUCGAACGGAAAGGCCCGGCUUUUGUGGGGUGCUCGAGUGGCGAACGGGUGAGUAACACGUGAGUAACCUGUCCUUGACUUUGGGAUAACUUCAGGAAACUGGGGCUAAUACCGGAUAGGAGCUCCUGCAGCAUGGUGGGGGGUGGAAAGUUUCGGCGGUUGGGGAUGGACUCGCGGCUUAUCAGCUUGUUGGUGGGGUAGUGGCUUACCAAGGCUUUGACGGGUAGCCGGCCUGAGAGGGUGACCGGCCACAUUGGGACUGAGAUACGGCCCAGACUCCUACGGGAGGCAGCAGUGGGGAAUAUUGCACAAUGGGCGGAAGCCUGAUGCAGCAACGCCGCGUGCGGGAUGACGGCCUUCGGGUUGUAAACCGCUUUCGCCUGUGACGAAGCGUGAGUGACGGUAAUGGGUAAAGAAGCACCGGCUAACUACGUG